ACGCGCCUAUUCCUGCCUUUGUAAGAUCAUUUCUUAGUAUUAGCAGUGAGCAUUGGUGAGUGAGUGAGACCUACGAGUUUUACAAAAACAAAACGAGCGUGUAUGAUCUGGGCAUAACUGUUCAAAGCGAAUCCAUACAAGGUUUCAGAGUAAAAAUUUCAAUCAGAGUGUAAACAAACAAGCGAAACAACAACAGAGAAGAUUACUUUGAUAAAUCGCAAGAAGAAAACAAAACAGCAAUCCUGCAGGUAUCACCUUGCAUGGAUGCGCCUUGGUUUGAUUUGGGUAUCCAACAGUUUGAUGUUUGGUUGGAAUUUUAUCUGGUUUUAAGUGAUUUGCUCAUUUAACAUAGUGCUGCAUUACAGAGAACUGCAAUAGUUUGCUUUCAACGAACAAUCCAAUGGAAUUGCACACAGAAAAGCAACAAAGGUAAAAACCUGCAUUGCUGCUUGAAAAUAAUAUUGUGAGAGACAGAAAUAAAAACGAUAGAGAAUAAAGAAAAUGAAAAUCAGAACAGUUACUUAUGAGGAUUCUUUCCUUAUUUAAUACUUGCAUUGUAUUUAUUUUUAGAGAGAAAGUAAAACAGCUGAGUUGUUCUUUGAGAUGAAUACAUUUUUUGUAUUUAAUUUUGACUCAGUUACUAAAAUAAGAAAAAUAUUUCACAAAAAAAAAAAACGAAAAAAAGCACUAAUAUCUCUACCAAAAUUAUAAUUACAUCAAACACCAAUUUUUUAUUACUGUUCUAUGUGGAAAAUAUUCAGCAAAUCAUCUAAACUCUCUACUCUUACAUACAUACAUCAAUAUUUAUAUUUAAAAGCAUUAUUUCUUUAACUGCAACUGAGUUGGAUGCAAUUCCGCUUUGUUUUUCUGAGAUUAGAUUUUAAGCAGCUCAAACUCUAGUAUUAUUGUAUUGGAGUAAAACAUGUAUUCCUCAAUACUUUGGUGAGUGAGACCUGCGAUGUUGUCAAUACAGGUAAGUUUUCCUCAAUUUAGGUAGCAAAAGCAAAAAACAAAAAAAAGUGGCGUUAACAAGUGGCGAAUACAUGAAACAACUGGUACAAAUGAACUUAUGUCGACAACGCGAGAAGAGAGCUGCCUUAAAUUAAAUGUGUUGGUAAAGCAGUGCACCUAAUGAGCUAUAGCAUAGCCAUACUCGCUAGCGGCGAAUAUUGCUCGAUAACUAUGUUGUUGCAUUCGCAUGCAAAUUUCUCGUUAAGUUAAUCGAGCAUAAAGAUAGCGAGCGGGGAAAUGGCGAAUAGAAGAGGUCUAUAAUCAUACUCGCUAGCGGUACUACUCGAUAACUUUGUUUUUGCUUUUAGAUGCAAAUUGUUCGUCAAGCGAGCAGAUCCCAAACGUAGCGAGCAGCGAAGUGAUAAAUCGAAGGCGCUUAUUAUUUGAUAAUUUAUAAACUUUACAAAGGGCCAAAUGGUGCACGAAUCUUUCUAAUGUUAUUGUUUUUUUACAUAUUUCUGUAAAAUUAUGUACUUAGUCCUGCCAUAAGUUCUGUUACAAGUUAGAUCCGUUAUAGAUAUGAAAUUAUAAUACUUUUUUUACUGUCGUGUAAAUUAAAAAAAAGGAAAGUGCGUGUAGCGUAGUACACAUAACAGAAGUGAAACUUUCAAGGCAAACGAAGAAAGGGGGAGCGACCCGAGGAAGAAUGAGAGAGAGAGAGAGAAAGAAUAUAUAUCUAAAUAGAUUCACAACAUUUGCAGAGAAAAGAAAUGGACAAAAUUUACGAAAAACGGAGAAGGGUCGACCGGUGUAGGUAAACGCCGGACACAAAUCGUGGCAACAACGCGCACUACUCCGAGCGUUUAUCACCCGCAUAAACGCAGCGAUUCCUGGACCGUAGCAACGGCACAAAUUACCACAAGGCAAUACCAAUAAACCCGACGUCGGAAUGGAUAGCACUUUAUAGUACGCAUAACCUUAGCCAGGAAACGGAAAUAAGCGGCAAAAAGUAAGCACAAGACAAAAAAAAAACGCCAAAAAAUUGGGACCAAAAAACAUCCCAAACAGUAGGCACCAAACAAAUAUAACGCCAAGAAUUAGGCACCAAAAUAUAUUUCCUACAAGUUUGCACCAACAAACAAGCGCCAAAAAGUAGGCAGUGUUAUUAGUCACUAGAAAUUAGCAACCACAAGGAAAAACUCAGGAAAAAUAGUCUGAAGUGUUUCUAAGAUAUAUAUAAGGUAUAGCUCUCUCUCUCUCCUUUUCCUCUACGUUAUAUCUUUUUUCUCUCUCGCGGAACGAAAAUGCCCAAAACGUUGCAUGGCCUUGAAAUUUUACUCUCAAUUCUGGCUCGUUCAUCGACGCCUAAGAAGUUUCACUUCAAAAAAAAUUAAAAUUUUCAUUCG